rnacentral:lncRNA from 1 species
GGAUGAUUGUAUUUGGAGAGAGGGCUUUGAAAGAGAUGUUAAAUUAAAAUAUGCAGUAGAGUAGGUCCUAAUCCAGGUUGACUAAGAUUAGGACAUAGAGACACCAAAGGUGCUUGUUGCCAGAGGGGCAACUUUUAGGUGAAGAGUCAGCAAAGCACUGUCAUCUCCUAGCCAGGGAGAGAGCCCUGGAACAGAUCCAACCCUUACGGGCCUCAGAGGAAACCAACCCUCUUGGCACCUUGAUCUUGGACUUCCAGGUUCCAUAACUGUGAGAAAAAUAAAUGUCUGUUGCUUAAGCCGUGCAGUCUGUGGUAUUUUGUUACAGCAACCUUACCAAACUAAUAUACCAGCGAUAACCUAAAGCAACUUUUUCUCCCUCGCUAGUUGUUUAUUUGUGAUGGCAGGAAGAAAAGCACUGAGAAUGGGAGUAUGUGAAAUGAAAAUGGGGUCUGUUAGUGGAAUUGGCUUGAAAGGAGGCUUGAGGUCAGCAGCCAGUGUGUGGCAAACUUAGGAAGGUAUUAGCUAAUGUCUAAGGUUUUGACUUGAUGAUUAUGUGUUGUGACUAUAACUAUUUGUAAUGCUGGAACUUAUAUACAUUUUCUCUUUUUCUCUUUAUGGACAGAUAUCAUCCAUUAAUUGCCACUUAUGGAAGAGGGAAGAACGUUGAGCAGAUAUCUAACUCUGAAGAUACAACCUCCAGCUCUACAUUUGAUACAGAAGAACUGCAGGGACGGUAAGAAGAUACAAAAUUGAACAAGUAGUUUUAAUGUUUUUUAUUUGUUUGCUUUUUAGGAAGGGACACAGUUUUCUCAAAUAAUAUUUAAAUUUGAAAUAGAAAUUUUUCUCCUAUUUGAAAUGCUAACUAGUCUUAAGAACUGUUCUUAAGAAAAUUUGUAUUUAAAAUAUUCUGACACUGUGUUGACUGAAAAUGUAGAGAUACUGAAUGAUUAAGAUAAUUUUUAUCCAUAGUCUAGUUGUAAAAAAAUGAAAUGUGACUAGUUAUAAUAGUAAUGACUCAUUAUAAAAACAAAUUUUAACAAUAAAUAUAAAGCUAUUAGUAAAUUUUUAAUUUUA